rnacentral:RNase_P_RNA from 3 species
UGAGUGGGCCGGGUGAUCGCGGCGUUUUCCGAACCGCCCCUGCAACAGGGGCAGGCGGGAGUCGAGGAAAGUCCGGACUCCGCAGGGCACGGUGGUUGCUAACGGCAACCCGGGGCGACCCGAGGGCAAGUGCAACAGAGAGUAGACCGCCUCCUUCAGCUUUCGGGCCGGGGGAGGUAAGGGUGAAAGGGUGCGGUAAGAGCGCACCGGCGGCGUCAGGUGACUGCGCCGGCCAGGUAAACCCCACCGGGAGCAAGGCAAAACGGCUCGCACACAGUGCGCGCCAGAUCGGGCGUUCGAGGGCUGCCCGCCCGAGUCCGAAGGUAGCUGCUUGAGGCGCCCAGCAAUGGUGCGUCCAGAUGGAUGUUCACCGCCCUCCCCGCGAGGGCACAGAAUCCGGCUUACAGGCCCACUCAUUCG